UUAGUUUUAUCUCUGAUCUAAAAAUGCUGUGUAACGGACUUUUGAAAAAUAACGUAUUUAAACCAUGAUUUAACUCUCCUUUCAGAAUUCAACGUGUUUGGAGAGACGUGUGGUGCGCAGGAACAAACAUACACAACAAUGUGCUGCACUCAGGAGAGGACAACAGUUUGCUUGAGCUGUCAAACAUGUUAGAUAACUUCUGUUGUCACUAUUUAUUUAUCCCAAGACUACAACUAAGUUUUCACACCAUCAGCAGUGGCUGAGAUGACCAUUCACUCAGAACUGAGAGGAAUCUGACACUCAGUCAGUUAUGGGAGAUGGGAAGCAUCCAGCAUGGUGUAGUAGAACCAGAAAUCACAGAGGGACUCUGCCUGCCUCAUAUUGACAGUGGACUGCUGGAUGACCCACACUGUGGGGUCACUAUUCCUGAAACUGGCAAUGUGUUGAGCCCCGAACAAUAAAAUCUAGCCAGGAAAAUGUAACUAAGUUAGUGUAUUCACUGAAUAAAAAUGUAGAAUUGC